GUUCUGGUCCUGUGCAACGGACGGCGCCGAACCUCGUCAGGCCCGGAAGGGAGCAGCGAUAAGGCUCACCGACCGUGUGCCGCAGAUCCACCGGAACCCU
rnacentral:SRP_RNA from 1 species